rnacentral:SRP_RNA from 1 species
GUGCGGGCUAGCCUGGAGGGUUCGGCGUCCUCUGCCACUCGAAAACGCCGAUAUGCGAGAGGCGAAGCUCGAGGGAGGCACUCUGGUCGUCAGUUCCAGCUCGAUGCACUACGAUGAGACAUCGUCCUGCGGGGUCGUCGGUGAUAUGGUGGCAAACCGGAGGGUUCGUUGCCAUAUCUUUGUCAUGGAUACCGGUUUAGGCCCGGAAGGGAGCAGACUCACCAUGAACGUUCGGCGCUCGCAGGGCAGCGAUGCGGAGGAAGGUAUCGAGGGUCUGGCUGACGGCAAGGGUGACAACCGAGAGCGUGCCCGCAC